UAGCUGCGAUAUGUAGCCCGAAUUGCAAACCUGUGGAGGGCUAAAAUUUCGAACGCAAAUGGCGCCGUCGGGUUACUCCCGUCGGCACGUCUGUCUGAGUGUUGGUCUGUCAAACACACAUUGUAACGAAUGUGUAGAGCAUUUGUGUGGAAGGCAUACCCUUGCCUUUCGUUGUCGUCGUUGAAAUAUGAGUGCUAGCCGCCUACGGCUUUGUUGGCUUAUUGGCUAACUUUGUUCUCAAGCGGAAAAAUGCAAAAACUCAAUUGCUGACCUCAGAUCAGGCGUGACUCCCCGCUGAACUUAA
rnacentral:misc_RNA from 1 species